UCACUUGUCUGCUCCAUUCAGUGUUGCCUGUAUGCAUUGCAUUUAGGGCUGACCACCUGAGAUUGGAUAACCUAUCAGAGACCCUCUCUCAUCAGUCACAGUCUGCCUGUCCCUCUUCUGCUAGGGGUGUGGCCUUGUGAGAUUUUACCCCAUCCACAUUGGCUUGUCAACUGGCAUUGUGUGGUCACUGUGCUAGUCGGAUUAGACAGUCAUAUGGUUGAGAUGUCAUGGUUGUGGCUUCCCCUGCUGUAUAUAGAAGACUCUCUCUCACAGCAGGCAUCAUGGUCCUCUGGCUCUUUAAAUAUUUCCACUUCCCUGACCCUGUAUAAGGAUAUGCCGUAGAUGUGUCCGUAGGUAGUGCGCGCCCUAAAGUCUUUUUCUCUGCAUUUGACCAGCUCUGGAUCUCCGUAAUAGUCUCCAUCUGCUGCAAAAUGAGGAUUAUUUGAUGAGGUGUGAGAGAUCCACGCUACCAGGUCAAAAGGUGGGCGGAAAGAAAACAGAAUCGCCGAAAGAUAAAGGCUAAAAAUAACCACCUGCGAGGCGAAUCAGCCCAGUUAGGGAUCCUGAAGACCGCGACAAGGCAAGGAUGUGCGUAGGGCCGCAUCUGCGUCAUCCGUAACAGGUGGCCAUGAGCGGAGUCAAGGAGCCAGAGCAGAGAGGAAGGAGCUCUGCAAACAGGUCAGGCCUCAAUGAUAUGUUCAACUCUUGGGCCAAAGGCGUUCCUCCCAGGACGUCCAGAUUAUCCUGUUGUGUAUUUCUUCUCCGGUGGCCUGACGAGGUGCUCCUUGCCUUCGGUGAAUACAGAAGGCCACCAAAGGAGGGAGAAUCUAAGCAACACAGCCAUGUCUGAAGCCUGAAGGUCUCGGCAAACUCGCUGACGUGCCAGGCUGCUGGGCAGUCACCAUGCAUCCCUCUGGUUCCAUAAUUACACCUCCUUAUGCUGGUCCUUAAAUCCAAGCAGGCCCAUGCCAUCCCCCAUGAUGUGCACACAACCAUUAGUAACCUUCACCAGAGUCACUACUCAAAAACCCCGGCUCUCAUCAAGUUGGAAGUGACCUAUUCUAACCUUUCGCCUUCUUAUUUCACCCCGUUUUUUUUUUCCUUUUACGUCAUCCCCGAAGGAGAGGGUGAAUGCAUGUUUUGGAUCACC
rnacentral:sRNA from 1 species